CGUAGGUGGCGAGCGUUGUCCGGAUUUACUGGGCGUAAAGAGCGCGCAGGCGGUCGUUCAAGUCGGAUGUGAAAUCCCCCGGCUCAACUGGGGAGCGUCAUUCGAUACUGAUCGACUUGAAGGCAGGAGAGGGAAGCGGAAUUCCCGGUGUAGUGGUGAAAUGCGUAGAUAUCGGGAGGAACGCCAGAGGCGAAGGCGGCUUCCUGGCCUGUUCUUGACGCUGAGGCGCGAAAGCUAGGGGAGCAAACGGGAUUAGAUACCCCGGUAGUCCUAGCUGUAAACGAUGGACACUAGGUGUUGGUGGUAUCAACCCCGCCAGUGCCGUAGCUAACGCAUUAAGUGUCCCGCCUGGGGAGUACGGCCGCAAGGCUA
rnacentral:rRNA from 1 species